GCCAGGCAUAGUGGCUCACACCUGUAAUCCCAGCAGCUUGGGAGGCUGAGGCAGGAGGAUCCCGAGUACAAAGCUAGCCUCAGCAAAAGUAAGGCACUAAGCAACACAGUGAGACCCUGUCUCUA
rnacentral:sRNA from 1 species